AGUGAACGCUGGCGGUAGGCCUAACACAUGCAAGUCGAACGGCAGCACAGGAGAGCUUGCUCUCUGGGUGGCGAGUGGCGGACGGGUGAGGAAUACAUCGGAAUCUGCCCAGUCGUGGGGGAUAACGUAGGGAAACUUACUCUAAUACCGCAUACUACCUUCGGGUGAAAGAGGGGGAUCGCAAGACCUCUCGCGAUUGGAUGAGCCGAUGUCGGAUUAGCUAGUUGGCGGGGUAAUGGCCCACCAAGGCGACGAUCCGUAGCUGGUCUGAGAGGAUGAUCAGCCACACUGGAACUGAGACACGGUCCAGACUCCUACGGGAGGCAGAAGUGGGGAAUAUUGGACAAUGGGCGCAAGCCUGAUCCAGCCAUACCGCGUGGGUGAAGAAGGCCUUCGGGUUGUAAAGCCCUUUUGUUGGGAAAGAAAUCUUUCAGGCUAAUACCCUGGGAGGAUGACGGUACCAAAAGAAUAAGCACCGGCUAACUUCGUG
rnacentral:rRNA from 1 species